AGGUGUGCCAGCCCUGCCUCGUCCCAUCCAGGCUGCGCACGGCGGGCUGCCCACGGCGGACUGCCCAUGCUGCUGCCCCUCCAUCCGAAUCACCACGUGGGAAGAGCACUGCCGGUGGCAACAGCCCAACGGGGUCGAUGUCUUUUUUUCCAACUGCAUGCUCUCUGAUGCUGGGACUUUGAGACAGUGCUGAGACCGGCAAUGUCCACAGCUACCGCCAAUGUUACUGCUGGGACUUUUUAAACUCCUGACUUCAGUGUGGACCAAACCAAGGACUCAGAAUGUAUCCCACUAUUUCAGGUGCUUCUAACCAUGAUCACAUAGUUCCCUGUCCACCAAAAUGGGCACCUGCCUGUCUUUCAGCACAUUUUCCUGUCUAAUGAAAACUGGAUUUGUACUUUCUCUUAUUUAAUUCACUGAAGGAAUGAAAGUAAUUAUUGAAGUCCAGACUUUUCAUGGUUCAUAUCACCAGGCAAGUAUUAUUUAUUUAAAGUGUUUGAAAUAAAGCUGUUUAAUAACAGACAAGAGAUGCAGAGCAACCACACAAGGAGGCACUUAGGGGUUUCAUCAACAGACAUAAGUUUGCUCCUUAGAAUAUUAAUAGUGUUACAGGAAUGCAACAUUUCUCUUAUGGGGGGGACACUUCUCUUUUCCCCAAAGAAGAUAUUAGUGUUCCUAAAAAUAUUUUUUC